rnacentral:rRNA from 1 species
GACAGAGAGUGCAAACGUUGUUCGGAAUUACUGGGCGUAAAGCGCGUGUAGGCUGUCUCGCAAGUCGGGUGUGAAAGCCCUGGGCUCAACCUAGGAAGUGCACUCGAAACUGCGAAACUCGAGUCCUGGAGAGGAAGGCGGAAUUCUCGGUGUAGAGGUGAAAUUCGCAGAUAUCAGGAGGAACACCGGUGGCGAAGGCGGAUCUCUGGGCCUGUUCUGACGCUGAGGCGCGAAAGCUAGGGGAGCGAACAGG